UCAAAGAAAAAGACGAUGACUUUGAAGUCUACAAGUCAUAUUUCUGUGAACGAGUGAACUGGCAACAUGUCGAGCCCGUAAGUAACUAGGUUUUUCCUAUAGAAAUUAUAGCAAGUCACAGUAAAAUCUUGAACCCAUAACAACAACAACAACAGCAGCUGGAUCAAUUGGUUCUUCGGAAUCAAGGGCAACGAGUUCCUCUGCCACGUGCCCACCAACUACUUUCAGGACACGUUCAACCAGAUGGGCCUGGAGUACUUCAGCCAGCACUGGACGUGAUCCUGAAGCCGGCGUUCGACAGUUCCUCGGGCUUGUUCUACGACGAUGAGAAAAAGUGGUACGGCAUGAUUCACGCCCGAUACAUCAGGUCGGAGCGUGGCGUGAAUGAUAUGCACCGAAACUAUAUGAGAGGAGACUUUGAAUCGUGUCCGAAUAUCUCCUGUAAUAGGAAGAACACCCUGCCAGUGGGCCUCAGCGAUGUGCGGGGCAAGUCAACGGUGAAGAUCUACUGCCCACGCUGUAAAAACUACUUCCAUCCUAAAACUGAUACACAGCCAUGUUCGAGCCCAGCUUCCCGGACAUCUUCUUAACGCAGCUGCCGAACUUGAGACCGCCCCUGGGCGACCCACGGUAAGUAAUUCUCCGAAUAUAGUCCUGGUUGUUUUCUAAACAAAGCGCUUGAACUUGCAGUCCCUAUGCUUUCGGUUGCACCAGAAGGCCUUGAUGCCACUUAAAUCGCCCAAGUCACCAAAGAAUAUCGAAUCCUCGGUCAGCUAGUCCUCCUCCUCGCUCCGGCAUUCCGAAGUCAAGCGCUUCAAUGUUCUAGGGAUGACGUGAUUUUUUAACUCCACACAAAAGAAAGCAGAAAUGUUUGUACGAUAUAUUGUUGUUGCAAUUAAACAGAUUCCGCAGUGCGUUGAUAUGGCCAGCUAUCACCUACUAAUACACCUCAUACACCUCUCCUCUAAAUACUUGGUUCAAAGUGUUCGGUCCAAGCUGGUCAUAUCAAGCACUCAUUCGAGUAGCAAAGCAUACUUUUCGUUAAACGUGGUAAUCACCUGGGUAUAAUAAUAAUAUUAUUCAAUAAAAUAUUCAAUUCAGUUUUUUAUUUAAUUUUAUGUUAAAAGAGUUUCCAAAAGUGUUUUCCUGACUACAUCAAAUAUUUUUUGAUAAUUUAAUUUCUUUAAAU
rnacentral:lncRNA from 1 species